rnacentral:rRNA from 1 species
UACAGAGGGUGCAAGCAUUAAUCGGAUUUAUUGGGCGUAAAGGGCGCGUAGGCGGUAAGAUAAGUCAGAUGUGAAAUCCCGGGGCUCAACCCCGGAACAGCAUUUGAAACUGUCUUUCUAGAGGGUAGGCGGAGAAAACGGAAUUCCACAAGUAGCGGUGAAAUGCGUAGACAUGUGGAAGAACACCGGUGGCGAAGGCGGUUUUCUAGCUUAUACCUGACGCUAAUGCGCGAAAGCAAGGGGAUCAAACAGG